rfam:Rheinheimera sp. A13L DRAFT__contig00001, whole genome shotgun sequence.
UUUGGCAUUUGGAUUUUUCGCCAGAAUGCCGUUACCUACCGCAUGCAAUAAGUGGGUUUUACCUAAACCUGUGCCGCCGUA